UACGGAAGGCAGCAGGGGGAAGUAUUGGACAAUGGGCGAAAGCCUGAUCCAGCCAUGCCGCGUGUGUGAAGAAGGCCUUUUGGUUGUAAAGCGACUUUAAAGCGUAGGAGGAGGCUACUUGGAUUAAUACUCUAGGAUAGUGGACGUUACUCGCAGAAUAAGCACCGGCUAACUCUGUGCCAGCAGCCGCGGUAAUACAGAGGGUGCGAGCGUUAAUCGGAUUUACUGGGCGUAAAGCGUGCGUAGGCGGCUUUUUUAAGUCGGAUGUGAAAUCCCUGAGCUUAACUUAGGAAUUGCAUUCGAUACUGGGAAGCUAGAGGUAUGGGAGAGGAUGGUAGAAUUCCAGGUGUAGCGGUGAAAUGCGUAGAGAUCUGGAGGAAUACCCGAUGGCGAAGGGCAGCCAUCUGGGCCUAAUACUGACGCUGAGGUACGAAAGCAUGGGGAGCAAACAAGGGAUUAGGAUACC
rnacentral:rRNA from 1 species